rnacentral:rRNA from 1 species
UACGAAGGGGGCUAGCGUUGCUCGGAAUCACUGGGCGUAAAGGGCGCGUAGGCGGCGUGGUAAGUCACUUGUGAAAUCUCUGAGCUUAACUCAGAACGGCCAAGUGAUACUGCUGUGCUAGAGUGCAGAAGGGGCAAUCGGAAUUCUUGGUGUAGCGGUGAAAUGCGUAGAUAUCAAGAGGAACACCUGAGGUGAAGACGGGUUGCUGGGCUGACACUGACGCUGAGGCGCGAAAGCCAGGGGAGCAAACGGG